rnacentral:rRNA from 1 species
AGUUUAAAGAUAAUAAAUUUUAAAUGAAUCCUGCCCAGUGAAUAAUUUUUAAAUGGCCGCAGUACCUUGACUGUGCUAAGGUAGCAUAAUCAAUUGGCUUUUAAUUAGAGUCUGGAAUGAAUGGAAUAAUGAAAUAAAGCUGUCUUAAAUUUAUUUUUAUAAACUUAUUUAUAAGGUGAAAAUACCUUAGUUUUUAGAAAAAAGACGAGAAGACCCUUAGAGUUUUUAAUAUAUAAAUAAUUAAUAUUUAUAUUUUUUUGUUGGGGCGACAAGUAAACAUUUUAAACUUUACGUUUUUAUAUUACGAUUUUAUUAAGAUAAAAAAAACUACCUUAGGGAUAACAGCAUUAUUUAUUAAUGAGAUUGUGACCUCGAUGUUGGACUAGGAACUUUAUGGCUAGCCGUCAAAUAAGAUUUGUUCUGUUCGAACAAUAUUAUCCU